rnacentral:rRNA from 1 species
CCUACGGGAGGCAGCAGUGGGGAAUAUUGGGCAAUGGGCGCAAGCCUGACCCAGCAACGCCGCGUGAAGGAAGAAGGCUUUCGGGUGGUGAACUUCUUUUGUCAGGGACGAAGCAAGUGACGGUACCUGACGAAUAAGACACGGCUAACUACGUGCCAGCAGCCGCGGUAAUACGUAGUUGGCAAGCGUUAUCAGGAUUUACUGGGUGUAAAGGGCGUGUAGGCGGGACUGCAAGUCAGAUGAGAAAACCACGGGCGCAACCUGUGGCCUGCAUUUGAAACUGGAGUUCUUGAGUACUGGAGAGGCAGACGGAAUUCCUAGUGUAGCGGCGAAAUGCGUAGAUAUUAGGAGGAACACCAGUGGCGAAGGCGGUCUGCUGGACAGCAACUGACGCUGAGGCGCGAAAGCGUGGGGAGCAAACAGGAUUAGAUACCCUUGUAGUC